CCUACGGGAGGCAGCAGUAAGGAAUAUUGGUCAAUGGAGGCAACUCUGAACCAGCCAUGCCGCGUGCAGGAAGACUGCCCUAUGGGUUGUAAACUGCUUUUAUCCGGGAAUAAACCUGCUUACGUGUAAGUAGCUGAAUGUACCGGAAGAAUAAGGAUCGGCUAACUCCGUGCCAGCAGCCGCGGUAAUACGGAGGAUCCAAGCGUUAUCCGGAUUUAUUGGGUUUAAAGGGUGCGUAGGCGGCCUGUUAAGUCAGGGGUGAAAGACGGUAGCUCAACUAUCGCAGUGCCCUUGAUACUGAUGGGCUUGAAUGGACUAGAGGUAGGCGGAAUGAGACAAGUAGCGGUGAAAUGCAUAGAUAUGUCUCAGAACACCGAUUGCGAAGGCAGCUUACUAUGGUCUUAUUGACGCUGAGGCACGAAAGCGUGGGGAUCAAACAGGAUUAGAUACCCUGGUAGUCCACGCCCUAAACGAUGAACACUCGCUGUUGGCGAUACACAGUCAGCGGCUAAGCGAAAGCGUUAAGCGUUCCACCUGGGGAGUACGCCCGCAAGGGUGAAACGUCGAAAGGAAUUGACGG
rnacentral:rRNA from 1 species